CGUUCGUUUAUUGUUAACUCAACCGUACGUCGGAACAGUCGAAACUCUGUCGGAGCUCUUGAGAAAAAAAAGCGAAAAAUAAUAUAAUCAUACACUCAUUCGGAGACUGAGCGAAAUAAGAAGAGAAGAAGCUGUAGAUUUUUCCUCUUGUACUUAAGUAACAUCGUACCAAGUUUUCGUCGCUUCCUCUCGUGUUUUCGGACGGUGGGAAAAAUUUUGCUUACGCGACCCGUGUGGACUAUCAUCGUGUGUAGGGCCCAAAUUUAAGUGACCAGAAGUGAUUACUCCAGAGGGAGAAAUUUUUCGGCCCGAGUCCCAAAGUUUGGCGUUUGGCGCAGACUCGUACGAACUGAACUAGUGCUCGUCCGACGGAAUUUCCGAAACAGAUUGGAGCGCUGCGCCGCAGCCCAAGUCAAGUCUGCUUACUCCCACAGAACGCGAUCGUCGGCCGUGCGGGGCUAAGCCACGAACGGAGUGUGUAUGAAGUGUGCAGGAAUUAAGGCAGCAAAGAGUCACGAGUGACGGUGUGAGCAGGCAGCGAGUGUGACCGAUUGUGUGUUGGUGAGGGGCUCCCGAAACGCGAGUGUUAGUGGCGAAUUUCCCAUUAAUUUUUUUUUGUUUUUCUCAUUUCGAAUCUUUUUUUUUUUUUUGGAAGUCGAGAAACGGGUGAAGAAAAUAAGAGAAAUCAAACAAAUGUGGCAAAGAUAAAGAGAGAAGCGUAAAGUUGAUUCAAAGGAAUUCCUAUACAUACACUAGUACAAAGAAAAGUGUAAGAAUAGUUUUUUUAUUACUCGUAUUACCGCACCAGAGUAUUAUUGAUAAACGCAGAAGUUUUGCUGAGGAAUGGAGAGACAACACUGAGUUACGCGUAGAGGAAACUGUGCAUAAGUGCGUAUUUGAAGCGAAAAAAACAAAAGUAUAAUUGAGAGAGAGAGUGUGUUCCGCCGCUAAGCUUGACCUUAAAGAUCGAACAAGAUGAGCACAUAUAGCAACAGUGUCAACUCGGACCACACCACCCCGUCGACGCAAAGUAUUGCGGACUAUCUGGCACAGUUACUUAAGGACAGGAAACAGCUCGCUGCCUUCCCAAAUGUUUUCAAUCACGUGGAGCGUUUGUUGGACGAGGAAAUUUCCAAGGUUCGUGCCUCCCUGUUCCAGAUCAAUGGAGUGACGAAAGAGCCAAUGCAACUGCCAGAACCAGAGGGCGAAGCUGUGACUCUGAAUGAGAAGGUAUACGUACCUGUCAAAGAGCAUCCAGAUUUCAACUUCGUCGGACGAAUUCUUGGUCCCCGAGGUAUGACAGCGAAACAGUUGGAGCAGGAGACAGGUUGCAAGAUUAUGGUCCGGGGGAAAGGUUCGAUGCGUGACAAAAAGAAAGAGGAAGCAAACCGGGGUAAACCCAACUGGGAGCAUUUGUCCGACGAUCUGCACGUACUGAUCACUGUUGAGGACACGGAAAACCGGGCUUCGAUCAAAAUAAAACGUGCUCUGGACGAGGUCAAGAAACUGCUCGUUCCCCAUGCUGAAGGUGAAGACGAACUGAAGAAACGACAGCUCAUGGAACUUGCCAUCAUCAACGGAACGUAUCGAGACUCGAGCACUAAAGCCGUGGCCGCCGAGCUGAGUUUCGAAACCGCGUACGACGGCUGGAAACAGCUAGCGGCCGAGCAGCGAUUAAUCAACCCUGCGGCUCUCUCAGGUCUUACCCAAAAUCAACUGGCCGCCGCCGCACGAAAUGCCGCGAACCCGCUCGGUGCUCCACUGAUUCUAUCCCCCCGAAUCUCAGUGCCAACGACCGGUGCCAGCUUAAUGACCGGGUCGGCGCCACCAACCAUUGAUCACACCACCGGGCUGAUAUACGCCACGGCACCGUACACCGACUACGCAAGCUACGCCGCGCUCGCCGCCGGAAACCCGCUGCUCACGGAAUACGCCGAUCACAGUUUUCCCUCCCGUUUCCAACUAGUUCCCCGCCAGGGACAGAUGACAGUGUAGAGACGGAUGAAAUUUCACGAUCGCUCACACCCCGACUGGCAUAAAUCUUGUGGGCAAAAUUUAUGAUCUGCGUUGUUUUACUGUUUGUCGCUGCGGUCGGUGGUCUAGCGAACUUGUAUUCACGUCUCUAUCCUUGUUCCAGGUCAGACAGUUCUGAAGGACUCACAGGCAGUUGUUUUUCGCGCUACUUGUCGUCCCCCAUUCGCCCAACCGACCAAACCAAACCAUCAUCCGACGCAACUCUACUUACCGAUCAUCCUCCCGGUAUCUUCAUUCUGCGGACAGACGACGCAUGGCCGUGAUUGCGUGAGUGUGCCCUCGGCGUCUGCCAACCUCAGUGUGUGCCAUCCCGUUCGUGUGCCAUUUGAGAGAUAGAAAUAGUGAUCGCGACAGCGAGAGAGAGACACAGACGUGCGUGAAUUUAUGUCAGUGAUUCAUUUAUACUCAGUACCCCCCAAAACCUGCAGUGGCGCUUGCAUAGUCAACGGGUUUUGAUUUCUAUCACGCGGUAUCCCUAAACACAUCUCUAUACAUUCUUCUCGCCGCCGCUUUGAGGUGACGAAAGCGCGAAGUGAAUCAAAAGUGGAAGCAAGAGAAUAUCGUUCUAGUUGUGUUUUUAUAGAGUUUAAUGAAGACAAGUUUUUUUUAUUCUAUUUUAUUUAGUAGUUAUUUAAAUUGAUGAGACCCACAUACGCCGCAAUGGGUGUCAUGGUUAGUUAAAUUAUUGUUAGUAUUAUACCCUCGAAUAAUUAUAAACACACAUGUUCAAAGUGUGUAAACCGGACUCGACUUUGUGCGAAUGCGAAUGUGCGUGGUCGACGGAACAGUUGGGUGCUAGCGGAGUCCGGAUACAGAGAAAUCGCGGAAGGUGUUGGAUUCUGAGACGACAGUGGAUUCGGCAGAACUGUACAGGUGCAACCAUCUGGAAAACACAGGUCGGCUUGGAACUACAUCCGCAAAAACUACAGUCGUAAUUAGGAGUCAACACCUUCCUGGCGUGGAUACAAAACAUCAAAGCCGAGUGUAUUCCGAACCACUUGGAAGCUGUUCCGGGUGCAGUACUACUACCUCCGACAUUAAUACACGACACAGUUCCACGAGACAAAACACCAACACCGCCAAAAAAAAAAAAAAGAAAGUGAAAGGAAUCCGCGUGAAGAUAUUGGGAUGCACAAAAGCAGCGGGAAAGCAAGCAAGCAGCACAAAUAAAAAUCGGAAACAAAAGAGACGAAGCAGCGAUAAAAACAUAACUAUGUGAAUGCAAAAAAGGUAAACACCAAUUUUGGAUUGAUGAGGAGACAUUCCAUACAGACCGUUAUAAAAGCCAGAAAGUUGUGAAGUAGGUACCCGUUUUAAAGUAGCAGCAAGAGAUUGUCCGCGCAGCCCGUGAUGCGGAGUGGAUAAAAAAAGAGAGUGCCAAAACGUGCCACCCCUUCGUGCGCCCCUACGCCCUUCUAUCGUCCCACAGGUGCUGCACAAAAAGGUAUGACCCUCUCCACCAACAACACGGUAUGGCAUCGAUUAAAAGAAGCGCGUGACGGUGGAGGAAAAAAAUGAGGAAAAGCCAACGACAAUACUGAGUUGAAGGUAAUCAGCAAUAAACCGGACGGCAAGUGAAUUCGCGAAACGCCGCACGAAUCCGCUCGUGAAAGUAGCCCAUCGAUGAUGGGUCCGGCGAAAGUGACAGAUGGAUGCGUGGGGUCCGUCCAGGGGAUGAUGCACUUAAAUGCAGUUAGUCAGUUUUUACCUAUAUUUUUAAGAAAUCGACCCAAAAUUGCACUUUUACAACAAACCAGUUACCAAGUAUUUUCGUUCGUUCUUUUUACGUGUAGAUGUUAUUAGUAGAUAUGUAAUGUACUUUUGCAAAUCCGAACGUGUUAAGCGAAAUAGCUCGGAGGAAAGCCAUGAUGAAAUUGAUGGAAAUGUGAAUGUGAAGUACUUCCAUGAUGUGCCUAGAGAUAAUAUUGAAAAAUUCAAGAUGUUUCAUAAAUGCUUUGUUAAAAUGUGACAAACUAGUCGUAUACUGAGGAUAGGUGUAUACAAGUAAAUAUAAUUCGAGAACAUUUUUCAUAUGUAUUGUAAAUGUAUUAAAGUUUAAUGACAGUUUAGUAUUAUUAAGUAAGUAAACUAUUUAUGCGUAGAACGAUA